AUGCCAGGCUCAUCAGCUCUGUGCCCAACCCUCCAUUCCAUGGCACAGAGCCUGCAGCCUAACGUGCUGCUGCUCCCAGUGAUCCCACUGAUCCCACUGUUCCCAUUGAUCCCACUGCUCCCAUUGACCCCACUGAUCCCACUGCUCCCACUGAUCCCAUUGACCCCACUGAUCCCACUGCUCCCAUUGAUCCCACUGCUCCCACUGCUCCCAUUGAUCCCACUGCUCCCAUUGAUCCCACUGAUCCCACUGCUCCCAUUGACCCCACUGAUCCCACUGCUCCCACUGAUCCCACUGCUCCCAUUGAUCCCACUGCUCCCAUUGACCCCACUGCUCCCACUGCUCCCACUGAUCCCACUGCUUCACUGCUCCCAUUGCUCCCACUGCUCCACUGACCCCACUGCUCCCACUGACCCCACUGCUCCCACUGUUCCCACUGCUCCACUGCUCCCGCUGCUGCGCUGCUCCCCAGCUCCACGCUCUCUCCCUUUCCCCAGCACCAGCCUGCUGGCCUGGCUCGUGGGGUGCCCUGGCUGUCCCCUGGCUGGGCACCCUGGGCAGCUCCAGGCGCCCGUGAGCUCAGCCUCCCCGAGGCCAUGAGCCUGCCCUUCCUCCCCUCCCUACCGAGAGCAGGCAGGGCCAGGGCAGAGCCCCCAAACUCCCCCGGCGGCGGCUCCCCGGGCUCGUUUCCUCCCUGCUGCCUUCUCUCCUUACGUCCUAAUUCCCUAACGAAGGGCCACGGGAGAGGAAGUCUUGCGGAAGCCCGUCCUGGCAGCCGCCUUCCUGCUGCCAGCCCGAGCUCCAGCCCUGGCACAGCGGGACUUCCUCGGCAUCGCACAAGACCCAGUUGGUGUUUUUGGUCUGGCACAAACCAUGCUGCUCUCUGCCCCUCGUGCUCAGUCAGGGCACCCCAUUCCCCUUCCUGUUUUCUAUUUAUCCAGGUCCUGAGCAAAGGUGUCCCACACCCUCCUUGAAAAUACCUGUGAAAUGUGAAAUGCUCCUCUUUUCCCGUGCCCCCAGGGUGCUGCGGGUUCCCGGGUGCCUCCAAGCAUCCAAUGCUCCAUGUGUG
rnacentral:lncRNA from 1 species